AGCUUUGUGCAGUGGCAGUAUCAUAGCCAAUGAGGUUUAUCCGAGGCGUGAUUAUUGCUAAUUGAAAAAUUGAGGAAUAGUUUAGUAAAACACACAGAUCUUAAAUAUAUAAUUCAAUGGCUUUUUACAAAUAUCUAUCUGUA